rnacentral:sRNA from 1 species
GCCGGGCAUGGUGGCGCAUGCCUAUAAUCCCAGUGGCUCAGGAGGCUGAGGCAGGAGGAUCACAAAGUUCAAAGCCAGCAUCAGCAACUUGGCAAGACCAUGUCUCUA